UGGGUAGGGGAGCGUUCUGUAAGCCUGCGAAGGUGGCCUGUGAGGGUUGCUGGAGGUAUCAGAAGUGCGAAUGCUGACAUAAGUAACGAUAAAGCGGGUGAAAAGCCCGCUCGCCGGAAGACCAAGGGUUCCUGUCCAACGUUAAUCGGGGCAGGGUGAGUCGACCCCUAAGGCGAGGCUGAAAAGCGUAGUCGAUGGGAAACAGGUUAAUAUUCCUGUACUGGGUGUUACUGCGAAGGGGGGACGGAGAAGGCUAGGCUAUCCGGGCGACGGUUGUCCCGGUUCAAGUGUGUAGGGGGGCAGACCAGGCAAAUCCGGUUUGCUAUCAACCCUGAGGCACGAUGACGAGUCUCUACGGAGAUGAAGUAGUUGAUGCCCUGCUUCCAGGAAAAGCCUCUAAGCUCCAGGUAACAUUCAAUCGUACCCCAAACCGACACAGGUGGUCAGGUAGAGAAUACUCAGGCGCUUGAGAGAACUCGGGUGAAGGAACUAGGCAAAAUGGUGCCGUAACUUCGGGAGAAGGCACGCUGGCGUUAGGUGAAGGGACUUGCUCCUGGAGCUGAAGCCAGUCGCAGAUACCAGCUGGCUGCAACUGUUUAAUAAAAACACAGCACUGUGCAAACACGAAAGUGGACGUAUACGGUGUGACGCCUGCCCGGUGCUGGAAGGUUAAUUGAUGGGGUUAGCGGCAACGCGAAGCUCUUGAUCGAAGCCCCAGUAAACGGCGGCCGUAACUAUAACGGUCCUAAGGUAGCGAAAUUCCUUGUCGGGUAAGUUCCGACCUGCACGAAUGGCGUAAUGAUGGCCAGGCUGUCUCCACCCGAGACUCAGUGAAAUUGAACUCGCUGUGAAGAUGCAGUGUACCCGCGGCAAGACGGAAAGACCCCGUGAACCUUUACUAUAGCUUGACACUGAACAUUGAGCCUUGAUGUGUAGGAUAGGUGGGAGGCCUGGAAGUGUGGACGCCAGUCUGCAUGGAGCCAACCUUGAAAUACCACCCUUUAAUGUUUGAUGUUCUAACUCGGCCCCCUAAUCGGGGGUGAGGACAGUGUCUGGUGGGUAGUUUGACUGGGGCGGUCUCCUCCCAAAGAGUAACGGAGGAGCACGAAGGUUGGCUAAUCACGGUCGGACAUCGUGAGGUUAGUGCAAAGGCAUAAGCCAGCUUGACUGUGAGAGUGACGGCUCGAGCAGGUACGAAAGUAGGUCUUAGUGAUCCGGUGGUUCUGAAUGGAAGGGCCAUCGCUCAACGGAUAAAAGGUACUCCGGGGAUAACAGGCUGAUACCGCCCAAGAGUUCAUAUCGACGGCGGUGUUUGGCACCUCGAUGUCGGCUCAUCACAUCCUGGGGCUGAAGUAGGUCCCAAGGGUAUGGCUGUUCGCCAUUUAAAGUGGUACGCGAGCUGGGUUUAGAACGUCGUGAGACAGUUCGGUCCCUAUCUGCCGUGGGCGUUGGAAGAUUGAGAGGGUUUGCUCCUAGUACGAGAGGACCGGAGUGAACGCACCCCUGGUGUUCGGGUUGUCAUGCCAAUGGCACUGCCCGGUAGCUAAGUGCGGAAAAGAUAAGCGCUGAAAGCAUCUAAGCGCGAAACUUGCCUCGAGAUGAGUCUUCCCUGGGCCUUUAAGGUCCCUGAAGGAACGUUUAAGACCAAGACGUUGAUAGGCUGGGUGUGUAAGUGCAGCGAUGCAUUGAGCUAACCAGUACUAAUGAACCGUGAGGCUUAACCUUACAACACCGAAGGUGUUU
rnacentral:rRNA from 1 species